rnacentral:lncRNA from 1 species
GUAGAAUUUAGUUCUUAAAAGAUGUGAUGUGACUGAGAAGUUCUAUGAAGAUAUUUUUUUCUGUUUUCAGUUUUACAGGACUGUUCUGUAAAGGAUUGCAAUGAGGAGAUGCUCUGUAGAAGAUUGUAUCCUGAGUAACUAUUCCUGCUUGGCACUUCUCCAGCUGCAAGGGGUGGAGGGUCAUGGAAGAAAGUUAAAUUGCCAGAACUGAGUUUCCCACCCAGACUGCCAGAGGUGAAAGGACAGAGCUUCACUUUCCCCACCAGAGGACAACUGGAUGCCCACCACCACUAUGCCACCCAACAAAAGGAAUUUUGUGGGCUGGUCUUCAGAGAUUCUGGUGCUCACCGCACAGGGGACUGGAGAUGGCAAAUUGUACAAGCAGCUGAGCAAGGAUCUAGAGAGCUCUGUGAAACACACCUGCUUCUGA